rnacentral:rRNA from 1 species
UAACAAGGAUUCCCCUAGUAACUGCGAGUGAAGCGGGAAAAGCUCAAAUUUAAAAUCUGACAGUUUCACUGUCCGAGUUGUAAUCUGGAGAAGCAUUUUCCGCGUCGGACCGUGUACAAGUUUCUUGGAAUAGAACGUCAUAGAGGGUGAGAAUCCCGUCCAUGACACGGACUACCGAUGCUUUGUGAUAUGCUCUCGAAGAGUCGAGUUGUUUGGGAAUGCAGCUCAAAAUGGGUGGUAAAUUCCAUCUAAAGCUAAAUAUUGGCGAGAGACCGAUAGCGAACAAGUACCGUGAGGGAAAGAUGAAAAGCACUUUGGAAAGAGAGUUAAACAGUACGUGAAAUUGUUGAAAGGGAAACGCUUGAAGUCAGUCGCGUUGGCAGAGACUCAGCCUUGCUUUGCAUGGUGUACUUCUCAGUUAACGGGUCAACAUCAAUUUCAGUUGGUGGAUAAAGGCAUUGGGAAUGUGGCACCUUCGGGUGUGUUAUAGACCUUUGUUGCAUACACUGACCGGGAUUGAGGAACGCAGCACGCCACUACGGCCAGGGAUUCGUCCCAUGUAACGUGCUUAGGAUGUUGGCAUAAUGGCUUUAAGCGACCCGUCUUGAAACACGGACCAAGGAGUCUAACAUGCCUGCGAGUAUUAGGGUGGAAAACCCUUGUGCGUAAUUAACGUGAAAGUUGGGACCUCUUGCGAGGGCACCGACGCCCGGCCCUGAAGUUUACUGACGGCGCUGCGGUAGAGCAUGUAUGUUGGGACCCGAAAGAUGGUGAACUAUGCCUGAAUAGGGUGAAGCCAGGGGAAACUCUGGUGGAGGCUCGUAGCGAUUCUGACGUGCAAAUCGAUCGUCAAAUUUGGG